rnacentral:rRNA from 2 species
AGAGUUUGAUCCUGGCUCAGAACGAACGCUGGCGGCGUGCUUAACACAUGCAAGUCGAACGUGAUCCGGAGCUUGCUCCGGUGAAAGUGGCGCACGGGUGAGUAACGCGUGGAUAACCUGCCCCGGUGUCUGGGAUAACAUCUCGAAAGGGGUGCUAAUACCGGAUAAGCCCACGGGCUCCUCGGAGCUUGCGGGAAAAGGUGGCCUCUAUUUAUAAGCUACCGCAUCAUGAUGGGUCCGCGUACCAUUAGCUAGUUGGUGGGGUAAUGGCCUACCAAGGCUACGAUGGUUAGCUGGUCUGAGAGGAUGAUCAGCCACACUGGAACUGAGACACGGUCCAGACUCCUACGGGAGGCAGCAGUGGGGAAUUUUGCGCAAUGGGGGAAACCCUGACGCAGCAACGCCGCGUGAGUGAUGAAGGCUUUCGGGUCGUAAAGCUCUGUCAGAGGGGAAGAAAUGAAACGUGCUAAUAUCACGUUUUCUUGACGGUACCCUCAAAGGAAGCACCGGCUAACUCCGUGCCAGCAGCCGCGGUAAUAC